rnacentral:rRNA from 11 species
GCCUAUGUUUAUCUUAUAAAUAAAAACUAAUAAAAACACUUAAACUGAUAAUUUCAUAAUAAAUCUUUACAAUAGUACUAUAGAGGAAGUAGUCAACAUAAUAAAGUAGUGGUUUAUACACGUACCUUGUGCAUCAUGGUUUUACAAGCCUCAAAUUAAUAAUAUUACCCGAAUUCUAAGCGAGCUGUCCCUUCAUAGCUAAGAGCCCACCACUAGUUGUAGCAUCAACUUUGGAAAAUGGGGGGAUAGGGGCUACAUACCAAUCGCGCUAGAAAAUCUCUGGUUUUCAGUAAAAUUUACCAAUAAAACAUGUAGCGUCCACCUACACUGCAAGACUACAGAGGAUAAGCCCUGUAUUCAAAAACUAGAUAUGCCCUCCUUCCAGUAUAGGCCUAAAAACAGCCACUAAUAGUACCUCACCGUAAACACCAUUAAAUUAAUUCUAUACCCUGUUCAAAUAAACUGAAAUUUUUGACAAACCUUAAAUCUUAAAAUAUUAUGUAAAAAUAAGUAUUAAUUUUAUAACCUAAGUUACAGCUACCAUGUAUGUAUUAUAUAUUUACAACUUAUAAAGGAACUUGGCAAAUUCUUAUUUCGACUGUUUAACAAAAACAUUGCUCUCAGUAACCUUAAUUAAGAGUAACUCCUGCCCAGUGAGUAAUUCAACGGCCGCGGUAUCCUAACCGUGCAAAGGUAGCAUAAUCACUUGCCCAUUAAUUGUGGGCUAGAAUGAAGGAUAAACGAAAUAAAUACUGUCUCUAUAAGCCGCUUAAAAAUACCCUCUAACCGAAGAGUGUUAGAUAGCGUCGAAGGACAAGAAGACCCUAUAGAGCUUAAUUUAAAUAAAUAUGAAAAAAUUUACUAAAAUUCGGUUGGGGCGACCAGGGAAUUACCCAUCAUCCCUAAACAAAAGAUAAAUGUAUCAAAACACUGACCCUUCUACAAGAUCAUUAAAACAAGCUACCUUAGGGAUAACAGGCUAAUCUCACUAGAGAGUCCUUAUCAAUAGUGAGGAUUGGCCCCUCGAUGUUGGCUUAGGGAAUCUCUAUGACGCAAAAGUCAUAUAAAGAUGGUUUGUUCAACCAAUAACACCCUACAUGAGCUGAGUUCAGACCGCGUAAGCCAGGUUAGUUUCUAUCCUCGAUCACUUUAUCUAUUUAUAGUACGAAAGGACCUAAUUAGAGUAAUAUUUACACACAGGGAAUAAAUAUAAACCAUUCUAAGUAAAAUAAAUCAUAAACUAUGNNNNNNNNNNNNNNNNNNNNNNNNNNNNNNNNNN